rnacentral:snRNA from 1 species
GAAUGUGAGGGCGAUCUGGCUGCGACAUCUGUCACCCCAUUGAUUGCCGGGAUUGAUCCAGCUGAUCUGGCUGGCUAGGUGGGUGUCCCCUUCCUCUCUCACCGCUCCGUGUGCUUCCCCCCGCCCCCGGGAAGCUGCACUGAGCACUCAGUCAGAGAGGAUGGCCAUCCCCAGGAGAGGACCAGUCUUCAGCCAAGGGUAUACAAGUAGCUGUGAGCCCCUUUUAGACCCUCCAAACGAGCUCUCCAGGUCCCCUGUAGGAGACACAUCCAAAUGAGGCACUGCAUGCCAGCAGGCUGCUGUUCUUU